rnacentral:tRNA from 1 species
GCCUUCGUGGUGUAAUGGUCAGCACGCUCGGUGCGUAUUCGAGAGGUCCAGGGUUCGAGUCCUGGCGAGAGCA